AGAGUUUGAUCCUGGCUCAGAUUGAACGCUGGCGGCAUGCUUUACACAUGCAAGUCGGACGGCAGCACAGAGAAGCUUGCUUCUUGGGUGGCGAGUGGCGAACGGGUGAGUAACAUAUCGGAACGUACCGAGUAAUGGGGGAUAACUAAUCGAAAGAUUAGCUAAUACCGCAUAUUCUCUGAGGAGGAAAGCAGGGGACCUUCGGGCCUUGCGUUAUUUGAGCGGCCGAUAUCUGAUUAGCUAGUUGGUGGGGUAAAGGCCUACCAAGGCGACGAUCAGUAGCGGGUCUGAGAGGAUGAUCCGCCACACUGGGACUGAGACACGGCCCAGACUCCUACGGGAGGCAGCAGUGGGGAAUUUUGGACAAUGGGCGCAAGCCUGAUCCAGCCAUGCCGCGUGUCUGAAGAAGGCCUUCGGGUUGUAAAGGACUUUUGUCAGGGAAGAAAAGGACAGGGUUAAUACCCCUGUCUGAUGACGGUACCUGAAGAAUAAGCACCGGCUAACUACGUGCCAGCAGCCGCGGUAAUACGUAGGGUGCGAGCGUUAAUCGGAAUUACUGGGCGUAAAGCGAGCGCAGACGGUUACUUAAGCAGGAUGUGAAAUCCCCGGGCUCAACCUGGGAACUGCGUUCUGAACUGGGUGACUAGAGUGUGUCAGAGGGAGGUAGAAUUCCACGUGUAGCAGUGAAAUGCGUAGAGAUGUGGAGGAAUACCGAUGGCGAAGGCAGCCUCCUGGGAUAACACUGACGUUCAUGCUCGAAAGCGUGGGUAGCAAACAGGAUUAGAUACCCUGGUAGUCCACGCCCUAAAC
rnacentral:rRNA from 1 species